rnacentral:rRNA from 1 species
AUUGAACGCUGGCGGCAUGCUUUACACAUGCAAGUCGAACGGGGUGGGGGGCAACUCCCAUUCAGUGGCGAACGGGUGAGUAAUGCAUCGGAACGUAUCACGUAGUGGGGGACAACGCCGCGAAAGCGGCGCUAAUACCGCAUAUGCUCUACGGAGGAAAGUGGGGGACCGCAAGGCCUCACGCUAUGGGAGCGGCCGAUGUCCGAUUAGCUAGUUGGUGGGGUAAUGGCCCACCAAGGCGACGAUCGGUAGCUGGUCUGAGAGGAUGAUCAGCCACACUGGGACUGAGACACGGCCCAGACUCCUACGGGGGGCAGCAGUGGGGAAUUUUGGACAAUGGGGGCAACCCUGAUCCAGCCAUGCCGCGUGAGUGAAGAAGGCCCUCGGGUUGUAAAGCUCUUUCGGCCGGGAAGAAAUCGCACGGGCUAAUACCCUGUGUGGACGACGGUACCGGAAUAAGAAGCACCGGCUGACUACGUGCCAGCAGCCGCCGUAA